rnacentral:rRNA from 1 species
CAGGCUUAACACAUGCAAGUCGAGGGGCAGCAUGGUCUUAGCUUGCUAAGGCCGAUGGCGACCGGCGCACGGGUGAGUAACACGUAUCCAACCUGCCGUCUACUCUUGGACAGCCUUCUGAAAGGAAGAUUAAUACAAGAUGGCAUCAUGAGUCCGCAUGUUCACAUGAUUAAAGGUAUUCCGGUAGACGAUGGGGAUGCGUUCCAUUAGAUAGUAGGCGGGGUAACGGCCCACCUAGUCUUCGAUGGAUAGGGGUUCUGAGAGGAAGGUCCCCCACAUUGGAACUGAGACACGGUCCAAACUCCUACGGGAGGCAGCAGUGAGGAAUAUUGGUCAAUGGGCGAGAGCCUGAACCAGCCAAGUAGCGUGAAGGAUGACUGCCCUAUGGGUUGUAAACUUCUUUUAUAAAGGAAUAAAGUCGGGUAUGGAUACCCGUUUGCAUGUACUUUAUGAAUAAGGAUCGGCUAACUCCGUGCCAGCAGCCGCGGUAAUACGGAGGAUCCGAGCGUUAUCCGGAUUUAUUGGGUUUAAAGGGAGCGUAGAUGGAUGUUUAAGUCAGUUGUGAAAGUUUGCGGCUCAACCGUAAAAUUGCAGUUGAUACUGGAUAUCUUGAGUGCAGUUGAGGUAGGCGGAAUUCGUGGUGUAACGGUGAAAUGCUUAGAUAUCACGAAGAACUCCGAUUGCGAAGGCAGCCUGCUAAGCUGCAACUGACAUUGAGGCUCGAAAGUGUGGGUAUCAAACAGGAUUAGAUACCCUGGUAGUCCACACGGUAAACGAUGAAUACUCGCUGUNUGCGAUAUACAGCAAGCGGCCAAGCGAAAGCGUUAAGUAUUCCACCUGGGGAGUACGCCGGCAACGGUGAAACUCAAAGGAAUUGACGGGGGCCCGCACAAGCGGAGGAACAUGUGGUUUAAUUCGAUGAUACGCGAGGAACCUUACCCGGGCUUAAAUUGCAGAUGAAUUACGGUGAAAGCCGUAAGCCGCAAGGCAUCUGUGAAGGUGCUGCAUGGUUGUCGUCAGCUCGUGCCGUGAGGUGUCGGCUUAAGUGCCAUAACGAGCGCAACCCUUGUUGUCAGUUACUAACAGGUUCCGCUGAGGACUCUGACAAGACUGCCAUCGUAAGAUGUGAGGAAGGUGGGGAUGACGUCAAAUCAGCACGGCCCUUACGUCCGGGGCUACACACGUGUUACAAUGGGGGGUACAGAGGGCCGCUACCACGCGAGUGGAUGCCAAUCCCCAAAACCUCUCUCAGUUCGGACUGGAGUCUGCAACCCGACUCCACGAAGCUGGAUUCGCUAGUAAUCGCGCAUCAGCCACGGCGCGGUGAAUACGUUCCCGGGCCUUGUACACACCGCCCGUCAAGCCAUGGGAGCCGGGGGUACCUGAAGUGCGUAACCGCGAGGAGCGCCCUAGGGUAAAACUGGUGACUGGG